rnacentral:rRNA from 1 species
GACGAACGCUGGCGGCGUGCUUAACACAUGCAAGUCGAACGGAAAGGCCCUGCCCUUGUUGGUUGCUCGAGUGGCGAACGGGUGGGUAACAUGAGAGUAACCUGCCCUUGACUUUUGGAUAACUUCAGCACACUGAGGCUAAUACCGUAUAGGAGCUCCUGCUGCAUUGUGGGGGUUGGAACGUUUCGGCGGUUGGGUAUGUACUCGCGGCUUAUCAGCUUGUUGGUGGGGUGGUGGCUUACGAAGGCUUGGACGGGUAGCCGGCCUGACAGGGAUACCGGCAACAUUGGGACUGAGAUACGGCCCAGACUCGUACGGGAGGCAGCAGUGGGGGAUAUUGCACUAUGGGCGGGAGCCUGGAGCAACGACGCCGCGCGGGGGAUGAACGCCUUCGGGUUGUAAACCGGGCUCGCCUGGGAUGUAGCGUGGGUGACGGUAAUGGGUUAAGAAGCGCCGGCUAACUACGUG